UUUAUUUCUGGUUUGGAAGGAUUUUUGGCAAAAGCCAUAUCAAGCUGUUCCUUGCUUACUUGACAAAUUCUCCACUUGUGGAAUUUCGUCAAUAUUUUUGCUGGCUUCAUCCUCAGCUUUCCGGUGAGGUUUGUCCUCACGGGACAGGUAAAAACAGUAGAGUCAAUGAUUUUCUUUCGAAUACUUCCGGGAUUAUGAAGAAAACUCAAGACCGGCGUCUGUACAACCCUUCGUUCAGUUUUCUUUUUUUAAUCGCUGGUGUUUCAGCUGUCAAUAAAUUCGCGCUGCGCCUGCCGAGAAUCUCGACGGCCGCUUUGAUAGGCUUAAGCGCCCUAUGGUUAUUUUGGAGUAAUUUUGCCAUUCCGAUUCACAAAAACUUAUUUCCGCAGGCAACCCUAACAAUGCUACUGUAACAAAAGUCUUUAGCUCUAUAACUCUUUCUGCAAUAUCGUGUAGACCACUCUAUCUAGUCUUACAAGUCAAUUUCAAACUUUAUUUCUCUUCCAAGCUGAUGUUUAACAUUAUUUUGCAUAGAAACCUAAAUUUUAAUUAACUUUACAACUUA